CCUACGGGAGGCAGCAGUGAGGAAUUUUCUGCAAUGGGCGAAAGCCUGACAGAGCAAUACCGCGUGGGGGAUGAAGACUUACUGAGUUGUAAACCUCGGUACCCUAAGGAAGAAGAUAUGACGGUACUUAGG
rnacentral:rRNA from 1 species